UACGUAGGGUGCGAGCGUUAAUCGGAAUUACUGGGCGUAAAGCGUGCGCAGGCGGUUAUGUAAGACAGUUGUGAAAUCCCCGGGCUCAACCUGGGAAUUGCAUCUGUGACUGCAUAGCUAGAGUACGGUAGAGGGGGGAUGGAAUUCCGCGUGUAGCAGUGAAAUGCGUAGAUAUGCGGAGGAACACCGAUGGCGAAGGCAAUCCCCUGGACCUGUACUGACGCUCAUGCACGAAAGCGUGGGGGAGCAAAC
rnacentral:rRNA from 1 species